rnacentral:rRNA from 1 species
GUGGGGAAUAUUGCACAAUGGGCGCAAGCCUGAUGCAGCAACGCCGCGUGAAGGAAGACGGUUUUCGGAUUGUAAACUUCUGUUCUUAGUGAAGAAAUUUGACGGUAGCUAAGGAGCAAGCCACGGCUAACUACGUGCCAGCAGCCGCGGUAAUACGUAGGUGGCAAGCGUUGUCCGGAAUUACUGGGUGUAAAGGGAGCGCAGGCGGGAAAGCAAGUCAGCUGUGAAAUCCAUGGGCUCAACCCAUGAACUGCAGUUGAAACUGUUUUUCUUGAGUGAAGUAGAGGUUGGCGGAAUUCCGAGUGUAGCGGUGAAAUGCGUAGAUAUUCGGAGGAACACCGGUGGCGAAGGCGGCCAACUGGGCUUUUACUGACGCUGAGGCUCGAAAGUGUGGGGAGCAAACAGG